rnacentral:rRNA from 1 species
AGAGUUUGAUCCUGGCUCAGCCUGAACGCUGGCGGCGUGGCUAAGACAUGCAAGUCGUACGGACGUAGCAAUACGUCAGUGGCGGACGGGUGAGUAAUGAAUCGCUAAUGUACCCCGAUGUCUGGGAUAGCCGGUCGAAAGACCGGGUAAUACCAGAUGAGACCACAGGUAGGCAUCUACCAGUGCUCAAAGGGUCACCGCAUUGGGAGCAGGCGAUUUCGUAUCAGGUAGUUGGUGAGGUAACGGCUCACCAAGCCGACGACGCGUAGCCGGGCUGAGAGGUCGGCCGGCCACAUUGGGACUGAGACACUGCCCAGACUCCUACGGGGGGCUGCAGUAACGAAUCUUCCGCAAUGCACGAAAGUGUGACGGAGCGACGCCGCGUGUGGGACGAAGUCCUUCGGGAUGUAAACCACUGUCAGGGGGAAGAAAGUUCUGAUCUACCCCAGAGGAAGGGGCGGCUAACUCUGUGCCAGCCGCCGCGGUAAUAC